rnacentral:snoRNA from 1 species
UUGCACUGUUCGUAACCUGUUAACAGUAUCCUUCUGAUAAUGGGUUCCAUUCCAGUGCUACAUGAUACCCCCAAGAUAAUAGAAGGCUGGCUGUUUGUCUGCCUGUCCCCUUUAUUAUGGGGGACAUGA